UACGUAGGGUGCAAGCGUUGUCCGGAAUUAUUGGGCGUAAAGAGCUCGUAGGCGGUUUGUCACGUUCGGAUGUGAAACCCUGAGGCUCAACCUCAGGCCUGCAUUCGAUACGGGCAGACUAGAAUUCGGCAGGGGAGACGUGGAAUUCCUGGUGUAGCGGUGAAAUGCGCAGAUAUCAGGAGGAACACCGGUGGCGAAGGCGGGUCUCUGGGCCGAUAUUGACGCUGAGGAGCGAAAGCGUGGGGAGCGAAACAGG
rnacentral:rRNA from 1 species